rnacentral:rRNA from 1 species
AACGAACGCUGGCGGCAUGCCUAACACAUGCAAGUCGAACGAGACCUUCGGGUCUAGUGGCGCACGGGUGCGUAACGCGUGGGAACCUGCCCUUAGGUUCGGAAUAACUCCCCGAAAGGGGUGCUAAUACCGGAUAAUGUCUUCGGACCAAAGAUUUAUCGACUUUGGAUGGGCCCGCGUUGGAUUAGCUAGUUGGUAGGGUAAAAGCCUACCAAGGCGACGCUCCAUAGCUGGUCUGAGAGGAUGAUCAGCCACACUGGGACUGAGACACGGCCCAGACUCCUACGGGAGGCAGCAGUGGGGAAUAUUGGACAAUCGGCGAAAGCCUGAUCCAGCAAUGCCGCGUGAGUGAUGAAGGCCUUAGGGUUGUAAAGCUCUUUUACCCGGGAUGAUAAUGACAGUACCGGGAGAAUAAGCUCCGGCUAACUCCGUG